AAAGGGAAAGCUGAAAACCUUGAACAGAGUAGGCA
rnacentral:ncRNA from 1 species